CCUACGGGCGGCAGCAGUGAGGAAUAUUGGUCAAUGGACGAGAGUCUGAACCAGCCAAGUAGCGUGAAGGAUGACUGCCCUAUGGGUUGUACACUUCUUUUGUAAAGGAAUAAAACGCCCCACGUGUGAGUUUUUGCAUGUACUUUAUGAAUAAGGAUCGGCUAAUUCCGUGCCAGCAGCCGCGGUAAUACGGAGGAUCCGAGCGUUAUCCGGAUUUAUUGGGUUUAAAGGGAGCGUAGACGGGUUGUUAAGUCAGUUGUGAAAGUUUGCGGCUCAACCUUAACAUUGCAAUUGAAACUGGGGGUCUUGAGUACAGUUAGGGUAGGCGGAAUUCGUGGUGUAGCGGUGAAAUGCUUAGAUAUCACGAAGAACCCCGAUUGCGAAGGCAGCUUACUAAAGUGUGACUGACAUUGAUGCUCGAAAGUGUGGGUAUCAAACAGGAUUAGAUACCCGAGUAGUC
rnacentral:rRNA from 1 species